GACAGAGGUGCCGAGCGUUAGGCGGAAUCACUGGGCUUAAAGCGUGUGUAGGCGGAUCGUUAAGUGCCUUGUGAAAUCCCACGGCUCACCCGUGGAACUGCUGGGCAUACUGGCGGUCUUGAGCCACCUAGGGGCAACCGGAACAAACGGUGGAGCGGUGAAAUGCGUAGAUAUCGUUUGGAACGCCAAUGGUGAAAACAGGUUGCUGGGGGGGUGUGCUGACGCUGAGACACGAAAGCCAGGGGAGCAAACGGG
rnacentral:rRNA from 1 species